CCUACGGGAGGCAGCAGUGAGGAAUAUUGGUCAAUGGGCGCGAGCCUGAACCAGCCAAGUCGCGUGAGGGAAGACGGUCCUAUGGAUUGUAAACCUCUUUUGUCGGGGAGCAAAAGACGCCACGCGUGGCGUUCCGAGCGUACCCGAAGAAAAAGCAUCGGCUAACUCCGUGCCAGCAGCCGCGGUAAUACGGAGGAUGCGAGCGUUAUCCGGAUUUAUUGGGUUAAAAGGGUGCGCAGGCGGAAGAUCAAGUCAGCGGGAAAAUUGAGAGGCUCAACCUCUUCGAGCCGUUGAAACUGGGUUUCUUGAGUGAGCGAGAAGAAUGCGGAAUGCGUGGUGUAGCGGUGAAAUGCAUAGAUAUCACGCAGAACUCCGAUUGCGAAGGCAGCAUACCGGCGCUCAACUGACGCUCAUGCACGAAAGUGUGGGUAUCGAACAGGAUUAGAUACCCGGGUAGUC
rnacentral:rRNA from 1 species